rnacentral:rRNA from 1 species
UCUGGUGAUGAUGGCGAAGAGGUCACACCCGUUCCCAUGCCGAACACGGAAGUUAAGCUCUUCAGCGCCGAUGGUAGUCGGGGGUUUCCCCCUGUGAGAGUAGGACAUCGCCAAGG